rnacentral:rRNA from 1 species
CCCGGCGACCGGCGCACGGGUGAGUAACACGUAUGCAACCUGGCCGUGACAGAUGGAUAACCGGGAGAAAUCCCGCCUAAUACAGCAUGACGCCGGGAAGGGACAUCCCUUUCCGGCCAAAGGGGGCGACUCCGGUCACGGAUGGGCAUGCGGCGCAUUAGGUAGUUGGUGGGGCAACGGCCCACCAAGCCGACGAUGCGUAGGGGUUCUGAGAGGAAGGUCCCCCACAUUGGAACUGAGACACGGUCCAAACUCCUACGGGAGGCAGCAG